GGACUACCAAAUAACAUUUUACCUUUUUGAACCUUUAAACUAAUGAAGUCGGUGAAUAUAGACUACCAAAUAACAUUUUACCUUUUUGAACCUUUAAACUAAUGAAGUCGGUGAAUAUAGACUACCAAAUAACAUUUUACCUUUUUGAACCUUUAAACUAAUGAAGUCGGUGAAUAUAACGUUCGGCUAGACUAAAUGAGAGAAGAGGUUAUGAUACAGAAGAUAAAUAGAUGGAAGCAAAAUAUAGAGGCAGAGAUGUAAAAGGAAAAGGAUUCGUAGACAUGUGAAUGACAGAGAGAAAAAAAGACAAGUAUAACUGGA
rnacentral:lncRNA from 1 species